rnacentral:rRNA from 1 species
AUUGAACGCUGGCGGCAGGCCUAACACAUGCAAGUCGAGCGGAUGAAGGGAGCUUGCUCCUGGAUUCAGCGGCGGACGGGUGAGUAAUGCCUAGGAAUCUGCCUGGUAGUGGGGGAUAACGUCCGGAAACGGGCGCUAUACCGCAUACGUGCUGAGGGAGAAAGUGGGGGAUCUUCGGACCUCACGCUAUCAGAUGAGCCUAGGUCGGAUUAGCUAGUUGGUGGGGUAAAGGCCUACCAAGGCGACGAUCCGUAACUGGUCUGAGAGGAUGAUCAGUCACACUGGAACUGAGACACGGUCCAGACUCCUACGGGAGGCAGCAGUGGGGAAUAUUGGACAAUGGGCGAAAGCCUGAUCCAGCCAUGCCGCGUGUGUGAAGAAGGUCUUCGGAUUGUAAAGCACUUUAAGUUGGGAGGAAGGGCAGUAAGUUAAUACCUUGCUGUUUUGACGUUACCAACAGAAUAAGCACCGGCUAACUUCGUG